AUGGUUAGGAAGGUUGAGGCAGUUGUGUAUUUAUGUUAUGGAUUGUUAGUUUAUUGGUCUGUGAACUAUUUUGGGCUUCUUCUUAAAUGUUGGUCAGGUCUUGUGCUAAUGCGCGUAUGCUUUGAUGCCUUUGUCUGCUUCAGAAUCGGGCUUUGGAUUUUUUGCAACAGGUCGAUGUUUCUCUGUCCACAUCACAUUAGGAUGAAUAGUAGCUACUUUAAGCUUCACUUGGUUGGAAACACUGCAACAGCCUUAUUCAGAGAUUCCUUGCUUUCAUCUUGCUUAGGAGCUUUUGCAGGUUAUAACAUAGUCUCUGGUGCCAUUUCUAGCAGGAAGUAA
rnacentral:lncRNA from 1 species